GUGGAAUACCAGAGAGUGGUGGGGGGCCAUGGGGGCGAGCAGAACUACGCUGGUGAGGAUCAGAACAGCACCAGGAAACAUGUCCAAAAGUUUGACAGUGUGGUAUCAGCAGACUGUUAUAAGGCCAACUACAACCCCUACCAGCCUGCCAUUCAGCCCAAGAUGUUCACCUCCGAGGUCCCCCACCAGCAGCUUGACGACCACUAUGACCAGCUGCAGAGAGACUUCCUGGACUCGGCACAGAGUACUGCAGACACUCAGCAGCUAGCCCAGCUCCAGAUCCUCAACAAGGCCCAGCUGAGACAGAUCGAAGACCUGGAGCAGAAACUGGAGGAUUCAAGGCGCAAUAUGAGAUACUUGGAGCAUCAGUUUGCC